AGCGACCCCAGGUCAGGCGAGACUACCCGCUGAAGUUUAA
rnacentral:rRNA from 1 species